rnacentral:lncRNA from 1 species
AAUGGUGUAAGUUUAAACCAUGGAAAUUCAAACCUAAAUAUGAAACAUACAAGGCAAAAUUCAAAGCUAAUCCCAAAACACAAUAACACGAUUAGGAAAAAAUAACAUUCCAUCAAGCUAACAUGGCUUAAAUUUUACUUAUCAUCCUUAAGUAUACCUAUCCGCAUUCCAAUCAAGGCAUUUUUAAAGUUAAAUAUUACAUCACAAACAAAUGAAGAAAGCAAGUAUAAUUGACUAUAAACAACUUCAUAUAAUAUUCCAUAAUUCGAUCCCAACUUCAACUAACUUUUAGAUGAUGACCAUAGUGUCAUUAGGCAUACCUGGAAGUGAAAAUAAAACCAAAUCAAGUAUCAGCACUCUUAAAGUAAAGGAUCAGUGAUGGAAACAAACAGAUUCAGUGGUGGAACAAGUGAAAUAAUCCCAGAAGCCUCAAUGGAACAGUAAGUUUUGACCAACUUGAAUCAGAAGCUUUCGAAAACCAUCAAUUUCAAUCCCUUUCCUUCGAAUGAACAAAACAUUCCCAAAGCAAGAAAAAGCUAACUUCAAAUUCUAUAAAAUCCUAAUGAAAAUGUCUAGAAAAAUUUUACUAGCUAAUGCCCUUUUUCAGACUCUAUUUCCU